UACGUAGGUGGCACGCGUUGUCCGGAUUUACUGGGCGUAAAGAGCUCGCCGGCGGUCGUUCAAGUCGCGUGUGAAAGCCCCCGGCUCAACUGGGGAGGGUCACGCGAUACUGAUCGACUCGAAGGCAGGAGAGGGAAGUGGAAUUCCCGGUGUAGUGGUGAAAUGCGUAGAUAUCGGGAGGAACACCAGUGGCGAAGGCGACUUCCUGGCCUGUUCUUGACGCUGAGGCGCGAAAGCUAGGGGAGCAAACGGG
rnacentral:rRNA from 1 species